UCCGGUUUGUCACCGGCAGUCUGGUGUGAGUCCCCAACUUAAUGAUGGCAACACACCACGGGGGUUGCGCUCGUUGCGGGACUUAACCCAACAUCUCACGACACGAGCUGACGACAGCCAUGCAGCAUCUGUGGUGCACCCUCGAAGGUCACACAUUUCUGUGCGUUUGCAGCACCAUGUCAAGUCCAGGUAAGGUUCUUCGCGUUGCAUCGAAUUAAAGAACAUGCUCCGCUGCUUGACAUGCACGUGGUACCAACCUGUAAGGGAAGGGACCCGCAAGGGAGCGUGC
rnacentral:misc_RNA from 1 species